GACGAACGCUGGCGGCAUGCCUAAUACAUGCAAGUCGAGCGGACAGAAGGGAGCUUGCUCCCGAAAGUCAGCGGCGGACGGGUGAGUAACACGUGGGCAACCUGCCCCUUAGAUUGGGAUAACUUCGGGAAACCGAAGCUAAUACCGAAUAAUACAAGGAACCUCCUGGUUCUCUGUUGAAAGAUGGCCUUUGUGCUGUCACUAAGGGAUGGGCCCGCGGCGCAUUAGCUAGUUGGUAAGGUAACGGCUUACCAAGGCGACGAUGCGUAGCCGACCUGAGAGGGUGAUCGGCCACACUGGGACUGAGACACGGCCCAGACUCCUACGGGAGGCAGCAGUAGGGAAUCUUCCGCAAUGGACGAAAGUCUGACGGAGCAAUGCCGCGUGAGUGAGGAAGGCCUUCAGGUCGUAAAGCUCUGUUGUGAGGGAAGAACAAGUACCGGCGUAACUACCGGUACCGUGACGGUACCUCACCAGAAAGCCACGGCUAGCUACGUGCCAGCCGCCGCCGUAA
rnacentral:rRNA from 1 species